UUACAUGGAGAUUACCCUUGUGGCUGUCACCGAACCAAGUUAGUCUCUACCUUAUAAGUGCACUUAAUCUUCCUCUCUCUCCGAUACUUAUCUUCCGGUCAAUCUUUCAUACCCGGCAACUUCUUCCGACUCCAAAUUUUAUGCCCCGCUCUGUUCCCAACGUUUUCUCUAGCAAAGAUUGCGCCUUUCACCUUCCCCUAAAAAUCCAAUCUUAGGGUUAAGAUUUCCAUUCCCAAUUUCUCCCAAACCAAAAUCCAACCACAAUCUCCGUGAACCAUCACCAAGGGGAAGAACGAUUUCCUCACGCCCAAAGCCAUGGGACUUCAGAAGCUCCGGUGGGACUGCCAUACGUGCGAGAAGCAAUGCCGCGAUGAGAACAGCUUCAAAUGUCACUGCUUGAGCGAGAGCCACCAGCGCCAUCGAGGAGUGUACAGUAGAGAGUUGGAGCUGUUUCCAGCGACUUUGAUUAGCCCUCGGUUCGCUUCACCGACUCUUCCUUCAACUGUUCUGUGCCGCCGAGAGCCGUCAUUAAGAAAACUUUGGUGCUGGAAAGCUCACCGCGGCCAAGGAAGAUCCCUGCUGUUACAAAGAGCAAAAACUGCAGCUUGAAUCUGGAGAACAAUAGACAGUUUGAGUAACAUUGAAGCAUAGAUAACCUUCUGUCAUAACUGAACCUGGAGCUCAAGAAGCAUGGUCAUGAGCCCGAUCCUAUUCAGUUUUUUUACGAUAAGCAUACACGGAAUGACAAAGAAAAAACCUGGAUUUAUGAAGUUGCUGAGCGGACACAUGCUGGUAUGCAAGAGAAGUUGGCAGAAAUUGUAGCAGUUGAAGGUAAUGAGACUACAGAGAUGCGAGAAAGAGCAUAUGUUGCAGUGAUGGGACCUGAGAAACGUCACAGAGUUUGCGGUUAUGGACUAGGUGUAAUACCUGAUAUGGUGCCUUAUCUUCAAAUUGAUGGUAGCUCAUCAUCACACAGAUCACAUGGAAGACAUUAUGCUCACUUGCAGUCACAAUUAAUUUAUGGAGUUAGAGUCCAAGUACCAACAACAACAAGAGCAAGCACAGGUGCAGCAAGUUCAAACUCAGGAACGACUCUUGCAAACCCAACAAGAAUUGGCAAUGUUAAAGCAAAUGAUGCAAUCCCAGCAAUCUACUCCACCUUCACAACAAUCUUCUCAGCCUUUGCAGCAACCAUCCUUCUAGAUGCCUUCUUAUCCUCGUCAAAUGUACUGGCCUCAACCGCAGAUCUAUCCUCAAAUGCCUUAUCAGCCUAAACAUGCUUAUCCUACCACUGGACUAACUGGAUUGCUUAUGGGAGAUACAAGUGUCCAAGAAACUGAUUUGUUGAACCAGCUUAGAGCUUCAUCAAAUCAAAGCUCUCGUGGAUCUGAGCAAUAGACUUUUAUUAUUUCCCUUAUUGAUCAUUAGAUGCUAAUUGAUAGGCAUUUGACUAGAUGAAUUUGUGACUUUUUUAGUAACAAGUAUUUUGUAGACUUGAUUUUAAGUUGCAUCAGUAAAGAUUUGUUGAACAGGAAAUAAAUUUAUAUUAUAUUUUGUUGUCCAGAAAAAAUUUAUAUAUAUAAUUUAUAUACGUCGUUAGUUAUAGAUG